rnacentral:rRNA from 1 species
GAAUCUACCUUCAGGUUGGGGACAACCACUGGAAACGGUGGCUAAUACCCAAUGUGCCGAGAGGUGAAAGGCUUGCUGCCUGAAGAAGAGCUUGCGUCUGAUUAGCUAGUUGGUGGGGUAAGAGCCUACCAAGGCGACGAUCAGUAGCUGGUCUGAGAGGAUGAUCAGCCACACUGGGACUGAGACACGGCCCAGACUCCUACGGGAGGCAGCAGUGGGGAAUUUUCCGCAAUGGGCGAAAGCCUGACGGAGCAAUACCGCGUGAGGGAGGAAGGCUCUUGGGUUGUAAACCUCUUUUCUCAGGGAAGAACAAAAUGACGGUACCUGAGGAAUAAGCAUCGGCUAACUCCGUGCCAGCAGCCGCGGUAAUACGGAGGAUGCAAGCGUUAUCCGGAAUGAUUGGGCGUAAAGGGUCCGCAGGUGGCAUUGUAAGUCUGCUGUUAAAGAGUUUGGCUCAACCAAAUAAAAGCAGUGGAAACUACAAAGCUAGAGUGUGGUCGGGGCAGAGGGAAUUCCUGGUGUAGCGGUGAAAUGCGUAGAUAUCAGGAAGAACACCGGUGGCGAAGGCGCUCUGCUAGGCCAAGACUGACACUGAGGGACGAAAGCUAGGGGAGCGAAU